rnacentral:rRNA from 1 species
UGAUGCAGCGACGCCGCGUGAGGGAUGACGGCNUUCGGGUUGUAAACCUCUUUCAGUAGGGAAGAAGCGAAAGUGACGGUACCUGCAGAAGAAGCACCGGCUAACUACGUGCCAGCAGCCGCGGUAAUACGUAGGGUGCGAGCGUUAUCCGGAAUUAUUGGGCGUAAAGAGCUCGUAGGCGGUUUGUCGCGUCUGUCGUGAAAGUCCGGGGCUUAACCCCGGAUCUGCGGUGGGUACGGGCAGACUAGAGUGCAGUAGGGGAGACUGGAAUUCCUGGUGUAGCGGUGGAAUGCGCAGAUAUCAGGAGGAACACCGAUGGCGAAGGCAGGUCUCUGGGCUGUAACUGACGCUGAGGAGCGAAAGCAUGGGGAGCGAACAGGAUUAGAUACCCUGGUAGUCCA